CCCUUAGAUGUCCUGGGCCGCACGCGCGUUACACUGAUGCAUUCAACGAGCUUAUAACCUUGGCCGAGAGGCCUGGGCAAUCUUGUUAAUGUGCAUCGUGAUAGGGAUAGAUUAUUGAAAUUAUUAAUCUUGAACGAGGAAUUCCUAGUAAACGCAGAUCAUCAAUCUGCAUUGAUUACGUCCCUGCCCUUUGUACACACCGCCCGUCGCACCUACCGAUUGGAUGGUCCGGUGAAGCCUCGGGAUUGUGGUUCUUGCCGCUUUAUUGUAGCGUGACCGCGAGAACUUGUCUAAACCUUAUCAUCUAGAGGAAGGUGAAGUCGUAACA
rnacentral:rRNA from 1 species